rnacentral:rRNA from 2 species
UGGGGAAUAUUGCACAAUGGAGGGAACUCUGAUGCAGCGACGCCGCGUGAACGAAGAAGGCUUUCGAGUCGUAAAGUUCUUUUAUAUGGGAAGAUAAUGACGGUACCAUAAGAAAAAGCCCCGGCUAACUACGUGCCAGCAGCCGCGGUAAUACGUAGGGGCUAGCGUUGUCCGGAAUCACUGGGCGUAAAGGGUUCGCAGGCGGAAAUGCAAGUCAGGUGUAAAAGGCAGUAGCUUAACUACUGUAAGCAUUUGAAACUGCAUAUCUUGAGAAGAGUAGAGGUAAGUGGAAUUUUUAGUGUAGCGGUGAAAUGCGUAGAUAUUAAAAAGAAUACCGGUGGCGAAGGCGACUUACUGGGCUCAUUCUGACGCUGAGGAACGAAAGCGUGGGUAGCAAACAGG